GCGCUGUUGGUGUAGAGGUAACACACAAUCUGACUUUAGUAGAAAAGAGAAAGAUUGAGGUUGAGUUCUGGGUUCGAAUCCCAGACGGCGCA